rnacentral:rRNA from 1 species
UACGUAGGUGGCAAGCGUUUGUCCGGAAUUAUUGGGCGUAAAGCGCGCGCAGGCGGUCCUUUAAGUCUGAUGUGAAAGCCCACGGCUCAACCGUGGAGGGUCAUUGGAAACUGGGGGGACUUGAGUACAGAAGAGAAGAGUGGAAUUCCACGUGUAAGCGGUGAAAUGCGUAGAGAUCGUAAGGAAGACCAGUGGCGAAGGCGGGUCUCUGGACAGUUCCUGACGCUGAGGCACGAAGGCCAGGGGGAGCAAACAGGG